UACGUAGGGUGCGAGCGUUGUCCGGAAUUAUUGGGCGUAAAGCGCUCGUAGGCGGUGUGUCGCGUCGGCCGUGAAAACCUGCAGCUUAACUGUGGGCUUGCAGUCGAUACGGGCAGGCUGGAGUUCGGUAGGGGAGACUGGAAUUCCUGGUGUAGCGGUGAAAUGCGCAGAUAUCAGGAGGAACACCGGUGGCGAAGGCGGGUCUCUGGGCCGAUACUGACGCUGAGGAGCGAAAGCGUGGGGAGCGAACAGG
rnacentral:rRNA from 1 species